CAAACACUAAUCAAACAAAACAAAAGAAUUAAAACAAGAAAUGGGCAAUGAAGUCCACCGGAUCCAAUUCCACAGGUUCAUUAUCCGGGCAAUGAAAAUGAACCUGGUCAAAGCUCGAUCCUCAGCGGCGCAGACAAAAUUUCAUCCUUCAAUCUCAUGCAUUCUGACUCAACUCCUUUUAAUCGUUCAAUGUACACUAAAAAUUUUGAACCACGAAAUCACCACCACAAUCCUACUCUUAUGCAAACCAGGUCCAUGGAUUCACGUUCAAGUCUAACGCAUCAACCAAUCCAGGCCAAGGAUCGAUCCUCAGCAGCGCAAACGAAAAUUUCAUCCUUCACUCUCACACGUUCUGACUCAAGUCCAUUCAACUGUUCAAUGUUUCAUCAAGGUUUUUGAACCACGAAAUCAAUAACACACUCCUAUUCGCGUCCGUCACCAUCUUCAUCAACCAAAACCAAAAUGAAAUUGCAACGCGAGAUCGAGACGAAUCGUAAAUUGAAGCAAGAAGAAGAACUCGCUGGAUUUGACACAAUGGCAAGAAACAUGUAUCCCUAUUAAGCUGGUAAUUUUACAGGAAGGUGGGAAGGCUUAUGCAAGGCCCUGUUAUCUCUUCAGAUGCUUUGAGCAGGUCAUUAUUCAUCAUUCAUUUGGCUACUAACUCAUUUAAAUUGCUACUGUCGUAAACACUUACUUGGAUUAGAGUUGUAAACACUUACUUGGAUUAGAGUUGCUUAUGGAAUGUAUGAUGUUAGAACUAGAAAAUCUUAAGGAUGUUUAUAACUGCUACUAUAGUUAAGUUAAUAAAACUAGGUUGCUUCAUAUUAAACUUGGUAUGUUAUGUUAAUCAAAUGAUCUUUGGCAUCUUAUGCUCAAUGGUUUAACUUAAUUAGUGAUGUGUGAAAGCACUUGGGCAUAAUAUGUGGAUGUUUAGCAAAACGCAUUAUGAUGUUAAUGUCGGAACUGAGAUCUUUCUAUAGGUUUGGGAUUCAACUUAUGCUAAAACAUAGAGCUGCACAUUGCUCGAAGGAAAUGGCUAUGGAAAUUAUGGUUGAAAUUGGAUGUUUUAGGAACCUAAAUGGGAAACAUAGGCCAUGUUAGUUUAAGUGCACUUGGGACAGUUCAUUGUAGUUUGUGAUUGAAAUUGUCUUGCACUUGUAAUUUUGGUUGAAUGUAAAUGCUUAAAUGUUGUAAUGUGAAAUGGAUAUGAAUAUGAUUUUCUAGUUUUUCGAUGGAAA